UACGUAGGGUGCGAGCGUUGUCCGGAAUUACUGGGCGUAAAGAGCUUGUAGGUGGUUUGUCGCGUUGUUCGUGAAAUCUCACGGCUCAACUGUGAGCGUGCGGGCGAUACGGGCAGACUAGAGUACUGCAGGGGAGACUGGAAUUCCUGGUGUAGCGGUGGAAUGCGCAGAUAUUAGGAGGAACACCGGUGGCGAAGGCGGGUCUCUGGGCAGUAACUGACGCUGAGAAGCGAAAGCGUGGGGAGCGAACAGG
rnacentral:rRNA from 1 species